GAAAACACCACUAUGUCCCUGCUUCUAUAUCUGCCAUGUGUCUAAAAUAGGGGUAUUUGUUGUCCAAAAUUUACUUUUUCCAACCGAUGAUGUCACUUUGUUCCAUUACAACUACAUAAUUACUAAAUUUUGCCUUUGGUUGUCAGGAAUAAACAAAACGCUGAUGUCACGUAGCUCUUUUUGUUUCCAAAUCAACCAAAGCAAACCUAUUUUGAUGCUUUUUCACAUUUACUUCAUCAUAUCACUUUUAAUUUUCAAAACCCUUUCUCUUUCUUCAUCCACAAACUUUUUUCUUCUUUCUCUCUCUUCCUCCGUUCUUCUUCUUUGUACCACCUUCUUCUUCUUCUUCUUACAAAUUUGAAAGAAAAAUAUCUUCUGACACUCUUUCCCUCUCUCUCUCUCGUCCUUUCCUUCACUUUCUCUCUUCUUCCUCCUUCUCCCUCUUCUUCUUCCUUCUUCCUUCUUCCUACAUAUGCAAUUUGUAUUCUUUCCUGACACGGUUUGUUCUGUUGAGCGCUGAGGACGAUGAUGAACACGAUGAUGGUGAUGUUGAUGUUGUUGGGUUCGUGAUGAACGAUGUUGAACGAUUUUAGAUGAAUGAGUUGAGUUGGUUGAAGAUCUAUGAAGAUGAUGACGAAAGUUACGAAUCUGAAUCUCGGGUGAGAUCCGACCCUUCCACGGGAUUAGGGUUUCAGGAGAUCUCGGUCGCAAGUUCUUUUCCAAUAUGUUUUGUUUUCUGCAGGAACUUUUUGUGGUGGUUAUGCAGAUUGGUUAGCAGAAUUUUGUGGGAAGUGGCGGUUUGUCUUUUAAUUCUUAUGUUUGCUGAUAUUUGCAGAGGGUGAAGUCAAAGAAAGAGCAAAAAGAGCUGUAGCAGCUGCUAGCAAAUGGAGGGAAUACUCAUGGAAAGAAUUGUGUAUGAAGUGAUGGCUUCUUAUCGUAUUGGAAGUGAAUUUGAAUUGUGACAUGGAUAAGCAGUGACUUGGUUCUAAAAUUGCAUAUGUGUUGUGACUGUUUUGGAUUAUAUAAUUAUGCAGUAUGGAUGACUAUGACAGUUUCAUAAAUAUCGUAAUGGUUAAAAAGAGAGCUUGGAUACACGGUAUUAUGUAGAAAAGUUUGGUGCAUCAUAUCCAGAAGAGAUUGAGAGGAUUAAGAAAGAUAUAUAAUUCAAAAUGGCAUGAAAUCAGCAGGUCAUGUUUUGGUGAUGCAACAAAUUUUUCUCUACAAGAUAUGCUUGCAUGAUUAUUCACCUUGGCAUUGCAAUUUGGCGGGAUGGGUGGCGACGAUGUAGUGGGUGACGAUUUUGAUGACAGUGAUGAUGAAGAUAAGUAUGCUGUACAAAUUGUGUGAUGCAGCAAUGCAUGAUUAAGUAAUAGUACAAGAUUUUACGGUGAUAAUGCAUCAAAAUUAAACAUUAUAUAUAUAUAUAUAUAUAUAAUAUUGAAAGGGAUGUUAAUCUUGGGUGGAAUGAAGAUCUUACUCUUUCUGUUAUAGAUCUUAAUCACAUUGUUUCAAUCGUAAGUAAGUUAAUUGUUGCGCUGUAUCGGUUAGUCUUUCUUUAAUGAUUGAGUUGACUUGAACAUCAAGCUAUUUAGUACAAAAUGUUGUUAAACAGUGGCGCGCUAUAGUACUUUAGCAUAGCAAAAUAUGAAAAAAUUGUUGAUUGUCAAAUGUGUUUCAAAUUUUAACUUUAUCAAUUGGGUUUGUAUAUGAGCUUUUUGAUCAUUGUUUCUUGAAUAAUCAAUUGCAUGAUUCAUAGGAUGAACAGUAGAAGCUUAGAACAUGUGAAUUCAAAAAGGAUCUAUAAGAAUUCUUUUUCAAAUUUUGGAUUUUGAUGUUAAAAGCUGAAAAUUUGACUUUUGUUUCAGUCAUUUGACUUUUCUAGGAGAUUGAUUUCUGAACCCUUUAAAUUUCUUGUCAUAGGAGAAUUCUCGAUGUUUUGAUUCUGAUUGCAACUAAAUAUCAUAGAAAAAAAGCUUAAGAUAAAAGGGGAAAAAUGAUUUUAAAGGUUAGGAGCUUAUAGGGUAAUUGGGAAUUAGGUUAUUGCUAAAAGGCAAUGGAGGAAAUAUCUUCGAGUGUUGCAGUAUUGUUUAUGUUUAGAAAUUUGAUUCAGAAAGAUGUUGCAGUUACUACUCGUAUGGAGAUAACCGGGUUAAAGCUAAUGGCGAAUACUGCGGCGGCUUUGAUGUUAAAUCCUGCAGGUGGUUUGAAAACCGUCCUGAUGUUGGGCCGCAACAUCAGAUUAUGGUAUCUGCGGAUGUAAAGGAGAAUCAAGUUGGGGCAGCUGUUGUUUUAAAAAUGGUGAUUGAAUGUGAGAGUAAUUGGGGGCUUACAGUGAUUUUCUGAAAUUGGUUAUUUCAAUUUUGAAAAUGUUUAGAUUUCUGUUAUUUCAUAUUGAUUUUCUUUCAUUUGCUUUGUUCUUUUUGUUGAAUGAAACAGACUCCUUUCACUGCUGAUCUCUUGACAACAUCAGGAAUGCAGUUGGCUAUGUUAGUCCAACCUUUGGCGCUUUCACACCCAUCCGAGGAUCCCAUUCAAGUCCGUUGCUCACGUUGCAAGGCUUAUGUAAAUCCCUUUAUGAAAUUUAUUAAUCAGGGAAGACGCUUUAUCUGUAAUUUAUGAUAACAUUGAAGAAUAAUGUGGUGAAUGAUGGUCAUUACAUUUAUGAAAUUACAAUUGUCAUCUACAAUUACAAUUACAUUCAUGUUGGCCAUUACAAUUUCUAAUUCAGGUUUUCCGGUCCUU